AUCUUCAGGGCGGGGUGUGAUUCCCCACCGGCGGUAUAGCCCGCGAGCCGUAAGGCAAGACCCGGUGCAAUUCCGGGGCCGACAGUACAGUCUGGAUGGAAGAAGAG
rnacentral:ncRNA from 1 species